rnacentral:rRNA from 1 species
AUUGAACGCUGGCGGCAUGCUUUACACAUGCAAGUCGGACGGCAGCGGGGUAGAGCUUGCUCUUGCCGGCGAGUGGCGAACGGGUGAGUAAAUAUUGGAACGUACCGGGUAAUGGGGGAUAACCAUUCGAAAGAUGGCUAAUACCGCAUACGCUUUGAGGAGGAAAGCAGGGGAUCCUUCGGCCUGCGUUAUUCGAGCGGCCAAUAUCUGAUUAGCUAGUUGGUGGGGUAAAGGCCACCAAGGCGACGAUCAGUAGCGGGUCUGAGAGGAUGAUCCGCCACACUGGGACUGAGACACGGCCCAGACUCCUACGGGAGGCAGCAGUGGGGAAUUUUGGACAAUGGGCGCAAGCCUGAUCCAGCCAUGCCGCGUGUCUGAAGAAGGCCUUCGGGUUGUAAAGGACUUUUGUUAGGGAAGAAAAAGGA